UUCCGGUUGAUCCUGCCGGAGGCCACUGCUAUGGGGGUCCGACUAAGCCAUGCGAGUCAUGGGGCGCCUUGCGCGCACCGGCGGACGGCUCAGUAACACGUCGGUAACCUACCCUCGGGAGGGGGAUAACCCCGGGAAACUGGGGCUAAUCCCCCAUAGGCUGAGGUACUGGAAGGUCCUCAGGCCGAAAGGGGCUCUGCCCGCCCGAGGAUGGGCCGGCGGCCGAUUAGGUAGUUGGUGGGGUAACGGCCCACCAAGCCGAAGAUCGGUACGGGCCAUGAGAGUGGGAGCCCGGAGAUGGACACUGAGACACGGGUCCAGGCCCUACGGGGCGCAGCAGGCGCGAAACCUCCGCAAUGCGGGCAACCGCGACGGGGGGACCCCCAGUGCCGUGGCAUCGCCACGGCUUUUCCGGAGUGUAAAAAGCUCCGGGAAUAAGGGCUGGGCAAGGCCGGUGGCAGCCGCCGCGGUAAUACCGGCGGCCCGAGUGGUGGCCGCUAUUAUUGGGCCUAAAGCGUCCGUAGCCGGGCCCGUAAGUCCCUGGCGAAAUCCCACGGCUCAACCGUGGGGCUUGCUGGGGAUACUGCGGGCCUUGGGACCGGGAGAGGCCGGGGGUACCCCUGGGGUAGGGGUGAAAUCCUAUAAUCCCAGGGGGACCGCCAGUGGCGAAGGCGCCCGGCUGGAACGGGUCCGACGGUGAGGGACGAAGGCCAGGGGAGCGAACCGGAUUAGAUACCCGGGUAGUCCUGGCUGUAAAGGAUGCGGGCUAGGUGUCGGGCGAGCUUCGAGCUCGCCCGGUGCCGAAGGGAAGCCGUUAAGCCCGCCGCCUGGGGAGUACGGCCGCAAGGCUGAAACUUAAAGGAAUUGGCGGGGGAGCACUACAAGGGGUGGAGCGUGCGGUUUAAUUGGAUUCAACGCCGGAA
rnacentral:rRNA from 1 species